CUAGUUUAUUGUUUCAGGUCUAAACAUAACAAACAGCACACACACACAAACUUAAACCAGUUCAUCUAUUACUAUGUGUGGAGUCUCAGUGUUUAUUGUUGUUCAAUCAUUUGUAAUAUGAACAUAAUAGGGGCAAAAACAUUCAUUUCAUUUAGAAGUAGUGAAAGACAAUGCGCAACAAAAAAUAAACAAGUCCAGUCCUAGAAUUUGUUGUUUUUUUUAUCUCUAAGUACUAAAUAUUUUAUUGCUAUGAAAUUUAUCUUGAGUUCUCAUAGAGUCAAAUCACACCUAACUGUUGAACCAAACAGUUUGACAAAUGUUAAACAUAAAUAAGUUUGAUUGUUUGUUUUUUUCUUACGGUCAAGUGGCCAACUAAAAGAUAGAAAACUUCAUGCAUGUAUUAAAAAGUAGAAUGUCUUGUGCUACAUUACUUAGGUUUGGAUUUUUUUCAUUUUUGGUACAUUAGCCAACUUCAGGCCAUGUCGUACCCUAGACAUUACUUGAGAAUGGGACCUUAUACUUAGGUCUAAGGAGAUCAGUCCACCCAGUACCACUAGGUCAGGACCGUGGUGGCAGAGUGGUAAAGAACUUGGCUUUUGAACCAAGUGGUCUUGGGCUCAAAUCUUGGUAAAAGGUGGCAAUUUUUAUUUUGGGAUUUUUAGGACACCCUGGAGUCCACCCAACUGUAAUAGGUACUUGGCAUUAGUUGGUUGUGUUGGCUACAUGACACCAGUGAAACAAAUGACCAUUACAUUAUUUGACCUAUAAGUGACAAGGUCUGAAAGGGGUAGUUUACUGUCUUACUACUGCUAGGAAGGAGUGUGUAAAGACAGUCCAGCAUCAGACAAAACAAAUAAAUGGAUAUUGCCAAAGUAAACAAAACAGAUGUACAAUGUGUCAUAAGAAUCUGUAAUUUUUGUAUUUACAACAGAAGUUUGUUUUGUAGUUGACAAAUAGGACACCUAAAUUUAAUUUUUUUGAUUCCUUUUUGAGGGAGAUAAUUGUUCUAACACUAGACGCAUGGUUAUUUACAUUACAUAUACAUUAAAAAUGUAUCCAACACAUUGUUCAUCUCACACACCCUCAAACCCCCCCCCCCC